rnacentral:rRNA from 1 species
CUUUACUGUAACUUGGAAUUGGGUUCGGGCUUUGCUUGCGCGGGAUAGGUGGGAGGCGUUGAAGCAUUCCUUGUGGGAGUGUGGAGCCAACGGUGAGAUACCACUCUGGUGAGGCUAGAAUUCUAACCCAAUGCCGUGACCCGGCUUGGGAACAGUUUCAGGCGGGCAGUUUAACUGGGGCGGUCGCCUCCUAAAAGGUAACGGAGGCGCGCAAAGGUUCUCUCAGGCUGGUUGGAAAUCAGCCGUAGAGUGUAAAGGCAUAAGAGAGCUUGACUGCGAGACGUACAGGUCGAGCAGGGUGGAAACACGGCCUUAGUGAUCCGACGGCGCUGCGUGGAAAGGCCGUCGCUAAACGGAUAAAAGUUA